GAGAUUGCAGCUUCCUCUCUAUUUCCAAAACACAUUUUUAUGAGAUAAUGCGAGUGGAGCCCAAAGUGGUGCUGAAUGUUGCUCAUGCUGUGGUGAAGAGGAUGUCAUCUUUUGUCAGGCAAAUAGACUUUGCUCUUGACUGGAUGGCUGUCGAAGCUGGCAGGGCUGUUUACAGGCAGGGAGAGAAAUCAGACAGCACUUUCAUAGUGCUGAGUGGUCGACUGCGCUCAGUAAUCAUGAAGGAGGAUGGCAAGAAAGAGUUGAUAGGAGAGUACGGACGUGGUGACCUGAUUGGAGUGGUAAGCAC